rnacentral:rRNA from 1 species
GGCCGCACAGCGAGAACAUGUGGUUUAUUCGAUGAUACGCGAGGACCUUACCGGGCUUGAAGUUAGUGACGGCGAUGAAGUCUGCUUCCUUCGGGGCACGAAACUAGGUGCUGCAUGGUUGUCGUCAGCUCGUGCCGUGAGGUGUCGGCUUAAGUGCCAUAACGAGCGCAACCCUUGCCGUUAGUUGCCAGCGGGUAAUGCCGGGAACUCUAGCGGGACUGCUACUGUAAGGUAGAGGAAGGUGGGGAUGACGUCAAAUCAGCACGGCCCUUACGUCCGGGGCGACACACGUGUUACAAUGGUGAGUACAGAGGGUUGCUACCCCGCGAGGGGAUGCUGAUCUCAUAAAACUCAUCUCAGUUCGGAUCGGAGUCUGCAACUCGACUCCGUGAAGCUGGAUUCGCUAGUAAUCGCGCAUCAGCCAUGGCGCGGUGAAUACGUUCCCGGGCCUUGUACACACCGCCCGUCAAGCCAUGGAAGCUGGGGGUACCUAAAGUCUGCAACCGCAAGGAGCGGCCUAGGGUAAAACUGGUAACUGGGGCU